GAUGAACGCUGGCGGCGUGCCUAACACAUGCAAGUCGAGCGAAGCACUUUGCUUAGAUUCUUCGGAUGAAGAGGAUUGUGACUGAGCGGCGGACGGGUGAGUAACGCGUGGGUAACCUGCCUCAUACAGGGGGAUAACAGUUAGAAAUGACUGCUAAUACCGCAUAAGACCACAGCACCGCAUGGUGCGGGGGUAAAAACUCCGGUGGUAUGAGAUGGACCCGCGUCUGAUUAGCUGGUUGGUAAGGUAACGGCUUACCAAGGCGACGAUCAGUAGCCGACCUGAGAGGGUGACCGGCCACAUUGGGACUGAGACACGGCCCAAACUCCUACGGGAGGCAGCAGUGGGGAAUAUUGCACAAUGGGGGAAACCCUGAUGCAGCGACGCCGCGUGAGCGAAGAAGUAUUUCGGUAUGUAAAGCUCUAUCAGCAGGGAAGAAAAUGACGGUACCUGACUAAGAAGCACCGGCUAAAUACGUGCCAGCAGCCGCGGUAAUACGUAUGGUGCAAGCGUUAUCCGGAUUUACUGGGUGUAAAGGGAGCGUAGACGGAUGGGCAAGUCUGAUGUGAAAACCCGGGGCUCAACCCCGGGACUGCAUUGGAAACUGUUCAUCUAGAGUGCUGGAGAGGUAAGUGGAAUUCCUAGUGUAGCGGUGAAAUGCGUAGAUAUUAGGAGGAACACCAGUGGCGAAGGCGGCUUACUGGACAGUAACUGACGUUGAGGCUCGAAAGCGUGGGGAGCAAACAGGAUUAGAUACCCUGGUAGUCCACGCCGUAAACGAUGACUACUAGGUGUCGGGUGGCAAAGCCAUUCGGUGCCGCAGCAAACGCAAUAAGUAGUCCACCUGGGGAGUACGUUCGCAAGAAUGAAACUCAAAGGAAUUGACGGGGACCCGCACAAGCGGUGGAGCAUGUGGUUUAAUUAGAAGCAACGCGAAGAACCUUACCUGCUCUCGACAUCCCGCUGACCGGACGGUAAUGUGUCCUUCCCUUCGGGGCAGCGGAGACAGGUGGUGCAUGGUUGUCGUCAGCUCGUGUCGUGAGAUGUUGGGUUAAGUCCCGCAACGAGCGCAACCCCUAUCUUUAGUAGCCAGCGGCCAGGCCGGGCACUCUAGAGAGACUGCCGGGGAUAACCCGGAGGAAGGUGGGGAUGACGUCAAAUCAUCAUGCCCCUUAUGAGCAGGGCUACACACGUGCUACAAUGGCGUAAACAAAGGGAAGCGAGACCGCGAGGUGGAGCAAAUCCCAAAAAUAACGUCUCAGUUCGGAUUGUAGUCUGCAACUCGACUACAUGAAGCUGGAAUCGCUAGUAAUCGCGAAUCAGAAUGUCGCGGUGAAUACGUUCCCGGGUCU
rnacentral:rRNA from 1 species